CCAACAUGGAUAGCCCGGGAGGUCAUUGUCCCCGGGCUCUGUACAGGUGGUCUAGGGGAGCACAAGGCUCUACCCCAUGAUGUACAGUCCCUUCCCACAGUGUUGGAGGAGAAGCUGGGCCUUGUGUCCGUGCCUGCAUAUUCCUACAACUUCUCAGAGUCCUUUGGGCAAUGACUGAGGAGAUAAACCAUGCAGGAAACAAUG
ensembl:snoRNA SNORA73 Small nucleolar RNA SNORA73 family